rnacentral:rRNA from 1 species
AUGCCGGAGGAGGCAAAGGCCGAUGCGCUGCUGGUACAGAAGGUGGGCGUGCUGCCCUCCGGGUUCCAUGACGCCUUCGUGCUCCGCUACAUCCGCGUCCACGCGUCUGGCCCAGCCGCCUCCUCUGCCACUUCACCGUCACCACCCGCCUCCUCUCGGAAUUGGAUGCGAAAUAAUACAUGUGGUGGUUCAUCAGCAUCACUUCUCAAGGUUAGUCAUAUGAACGGAUGGUUCACAAUAAUAGGAGCAUCACAAGACAUUGUAGUCAUUGGUGAAGAAUGA